rnacentral:rRNA from 1 species
AUACGGAGGGGGCUAGCGUUGUUCGGAAUUACUGGGCGUAAAGCGCACGUAGGCGGAUUAAAAAGUUAGAGGUGAAAUCCCAGGGCUUAACCCUGGAACUGCCUUUAAAACUAGUAGUCUAGAGUUCGAGAGAGGUGAGUGGAAUUCCAAGUGUAGAGGUGAAAUUCGUAGAUAUUUGGAGGAACACCAGUGGCGAAGGCGGCUCACUGGCUCGAUACUGACGCUGAGGUGCGAAAGCGUGGGGAGCAAACAGGAGUAGAAACCCUAGUAGUCC